rnacentral:rRNA from 1 species
UACGUAGGGUGCAAGCGUUAAUCGGAAUUACUGGGCGUAAAGCGUGCGCAGGCGGUGAUGUAAGACAGAUGUGAAAUCCCCGGGCUCAACCUGGGAACUGCAUUUGUGACUGCAUCGCUGGAGUGCGACAGAGGGGGAUGGAAUUCCGCGUGUAGCAGUGAAAUGCGUAGAUAUGCGGAGGAACACCGAUGGCGAAGGCAAUCCCCUGGGCCUGCACUGACGCUCAUGCACGAAAGCGUGGGGAGCAAACAGG